AAUCGCUAUCAUCUGAAACGUAUCAACUGAGAGAACUGAUUGAGUGAUUCCACUUAAGAAAAUCAAGAUGUUGCUGCUUCAAGGAGUACUUACUUACCAGGAAGAAGCAUGGGCCUCAGCAGACGCUGACCUCACACUCAGCUACAGAUGCAAUUUGCGCUAAUAAAAUACAUGGAGAAGUUC